GGAGCCGUAGCGAAAGCGAGUCUUAAUAGGGCGAUUGUCACUGCUUAUGGACCCGAACCUGGGUGAUCUAUCCAUGACCAGGAUGAAGCUUGGAUGAAACUAAGCAGAGGUCCGAACCGACUGAUGUUGAUGAAUCAGCGGAUGAGUUGUGGUUAGGGGUGAAAUGCCACUCGAACCCAGAGCUAGCUGGUUCUCCCCGAAAUGCGUUGAGGCGCAGCAGUUGAC
rnacentral:ncRNA from 1 species